AUUGAACGCUGGCGGCAUGCCUUACACAUGCAAGUCGAACGGCAGCGGGCCCUUCGGGGUGCCGGCGAGUGGCGAACGGGUGAGUAAUGCAUCGGAACGUACCCGGGAGAGGGGGAUAACCGGCCGAAAGGCUGGCUAAUACCGCAUGAACUCGGAAGAGCAAAGCGGGGGACCUUCGGGCCUCGCGCUCUCGGAGCGGCCGAUGUCCGAUUAGGCUAGUUGGUGGGGUAAAGGCCCACCAAGGCGACGAUCGGUAGCGGGUCUGAGAGGACGAUCCGCCACACUGGGACUGAGACACGGCCCAGACUCCUACGGGAGGCAGCAGUGGGGAAUCUUGGACAAUGGGCGCAAGCCUGAUCCAGCAAUGCCGCGUGGGUGAAGAAGGCCUUCGGGUUGUAAAGCCCUUUCGGCGGGGAAGAAAUCGGUCAGGCGAAUAGUCUGGCCGGAUGACGGUACCCGCAGAAGAAGCACCGGCUAACUACGU
rnacentral:rRNA from 1 species